GAAAGGAGGACUGAGGCUGGGUGAACAGGGUAUGGCCAGAUGGGGAGAACAGGAAUCAGGCAUCAGGAGGGGGCGGGGGUUGAGAAAAGAGCUGGGGCUGGGGCUCUGCACACUCGCUCACCUCCCAUGUGGCCUAGGGCCUAUCUCUGAGCGGUGGGGACCAGGAGGACGCGGGGAGGAUCCUGAUCGAGGAGCUGAGGGACCGAUUUCCCUACCUGAGUGAAAGCUACUUAAUCACCACGGAUGCCGCCGGCUCCAUCGCCACAGCUACACCGGAUGGUGGAGUUGUGCUCAUAUCUGGAACAGGCUCCAACUGCAGGCUCAUCAACCCUGAUGGCUCCGAGAGUGGCUGCGGCGGCUGGGGCCAUAUGAUGGGUGAUGAGGGUUCAGCCUACUGGAUCGCACACCAAGCAGUGAAAAUAGUGUUUGACUCCAUUGACAACCUAGAGGCGGCUCCUCAUGAUAUCGGCUACGUCAAACAGGCCAUGUUCCACUAUUUCCAGGUGCCAGAUCGGCUAGGGAUACUCACUCACCUGUAUAGGGACUUUGAUAAAUGCAGGUUUGCUGGGUUUUGCCGGAAAAUUGCAGAAGGUGCUCAGCAGGGAGACCCCCUUUCCCGCUAUAUCUUC
rnacentral:sRNA from 1 species